GAACUCCCGACUUCAGAUGAUCUGCCUGCCUCGGCCUCCCAAAGUACUGAGAUUACAGGCAUGAGCCAGUAUGCCCGGCAGAAUUUUCAUCUUUUAAGUCUGCCACCCUUGGACACUUACAUUGUUUCCAUCUUUCUGUAUUUGUAGAUAUGCUUCUACAUACACCUUUAUGCAUUUGCUUGAACAUUUCCCUGAGAACAACCAGAAAUGGAAUUGCCAAAUUACUUUGUGUACAUAUUUCCAAACUGUCCUCCAGAAAGAAUGUAAUGCUUUGAUCUUCCACUUGAGAAUCAAAUGUUUUACCUUCCUCUGUUCCUCCAGAUUUGGACAUUUACAGUGUUCAGCCUUUGUUGUGGCAUUCCAGUUCAACUGGGAAACAGCUUGAUGUAGCGUCCCCAGGUCCACAGUAAUACAUAUUAAACUUUUUUUUUUUUGGUGCAGUGCUGCAAUUUCGUGGCUCACUGCAACCUCCACCUCCCAGGUUCAAGCGAUCCUCCCACCUCAGCCUCCCUAGUAGCUGGGAUUACAGGUGCAUGCCACCACACCAGGCUAAGUUUUAUAUUUUUAGUAGAGAUGGGGUUUUACCAGGUUAGCCAGGCUGGUCUUGAACUCCUGACCUCAAGGGAUCUGCCUGCCUCAGCCUUCUUCCAAAGUGCUGGGAUUACAGGCAGAGACUGGACCUCAGAAGAGGGAGUGGGUGCCCCGAGAACUCACUGCUGGCGGACAGCGGAAAGGGCAGCUGCCGGACCAAGGUGAGGACAACGGAAGUGAAGGCCACUGGCUACCUCUCCUGCCCUCCGCUGGCCGCAUUGGAGAACUGCACCAGGAAGAAGACAGCCCCUCCCUUCCGCUCUGACCUGACAGUGUUCCUCCAUCGCCCUCUAUUGGAGAAGAACAACAUCAAGCUGGCUAGCAAGGAACUGCGUAGAGUCCCGCUGGGUAUCACGCUGGAUCUCACCCAAAGCUGAGAUGUUAUCCAGCUCAGUAUCACAGAGCAGAACGAAAAGGAUGUGUUUGGGCUGAGAGGCCAUACAUUGGUAACUGGCACAUGAACUGUAUUUUCUAUUGAGCAUUGCUGGUAUAUGGCAAGUUUGCAUACAAUUAUAUUGAAAUUGACCACCUAA